rnacentral:rRNA from 1 species
GACGAACGCUGGCGGCGUGCUUAACACAUGCAAGUCGAACGGAAAGGCCUGCUUUCCCUUGUGGAUUGCGGGUACUCGAGUGGCGAACGGGUGAGUAACACGUGAGUGAUCUGCCCCCAACUUGGGUAUAAGCCUGGGAAACUGGGUCUAAUUCCCGAUAGGACUGCAGGGUGGCGCCUGUGGUGGAAAACGAUUUUCUAGUGGUUGGGGAUGAGCUCGCGGCCUAUCAGCUUGUUGGUGGGGUAAUGGCCUACCAAGGCGGCGACGGGUAGCCGGCCUGGGAGGGUGGACGGCCACAUUGGGACUGAGAUACGGCCCAGACUCCUACGGGAGGCAGCAGUGGGGAAUAUUGCACAAUGGGCGGAAGCCUGAUGCAGCGACGCCGCGUGGGGGAUGACGGCCUUCGGGUUGUAAACUCCUUUCGACCGCGAGGAAGCCACCUGGUUGGAAGGGUGGUGACGGUAGUGGUAGAAGAAGCACCGGCUAACUACGUG